GCGGGUGUUGUGUAACGGUACAGUGCUGUCCUAAGUACCCGCGUGGUUAAAGACGUUCACAGCACGACCGGGUUCGACUCCCGGCACUCGCG